rfam:Trichobilharzia regenti genome assembly, scaffold: TRE_scaffold0013845
AUCCAGAUAACGAGUCCAAGAUAGAACGAAAUGCGCAUCUUGGAU